rnacentral:rRNA from 1 species
ACUACGGGAGGCUGCAGUGAGGAAUAUUGGUCAAUGGCCGGAAGGCUGAACCAGCCAUGCCGCGUGAAGGUCAGUGCCCUAUGGGCGUUAAACUUCUUUUGUGCGGGAGCAAUAAUGGUCACGUGUGGCCAGACGAGAGUACCGUAAGAGUAAGCAUCGGCUAACUACGUGCCAGCCGCCGCGGUAAAACGGGGGAUGCAAGCGUUAUCAGGAUUUAUUGGGUUUAAAGGGUGCGUAGGCUGUGCGGUAAGUCAGCGGUGAAAUGCCCCCGCUCAACGGGGUGAAGUGCCAUUGAUACUGCCGUGCUGGAAUGCGGAUGCCGUGGGAGGAAUGUGUGGUGUAGCGGUGAAAUGCAUAGAUAUCACACAGAACACCGAUUGCGAAGGCAUCUCACGAAUCCGCGAUUGACGCUGAUGCACGAAAGCGUGGGUAUCAAACAGGAUUAGAUACCCUUGUAGUC